UAUAAUGCCGCUUUUCCACUGCAUGGUACCAGCUCGACACGACUCGACUCGACUCGACUCAGCUCGCCUUUUUUGCGUUUCCACCGCGAAAACAUGGUAUCUGGUACCUGAAGUGGCUGCUUUUUCUAGUACCGCCUCGCUCUAGGUUCCAAGCGGCUGAGCCGAUGCUAAAAGGUGACGUCGGCAGACGGCCGGCCACUGAUUGGCCAGAGAGUGUGACGAAGUCACGAGAGCGACAUGGCAACCAUGCUGGUAACAGCCAUAGAUAGCAGCGCCGCAGCCAACAUAUUCCACUUCUUCAACAUGCCAGCUAAUAAUACGAACACGAAUACCAUCGCAUCGAUGUUCUCCAUUGUUGUUAUGUGGGUUCUGUCCAUGUGUGGGUUACGUAGGUGUUGUUUGCGUCGCGUACAAAAAUACGUCACGGCCCUUUCGCGCAGCCGACCCCGCCCACGUCCCGGAGGUACUAUUUGGAGUAGGGUCCGACUGCGUCCUGCGUCCUAGAAAUACACGCCCCUCGUGGGAAAUACACGCCCCUCGUGGGAAAUACACGCCCCUCGUGGGAAAUACACGCCCCUCGUGUGAAAUACACGCCUAUACAGAGUAGGGUCGGGGGCGUAGUCGGCCCUGAUUGGUCUGAUUCACGACGGCGUCUCUUCUCUUGUCGAACCUGCUCCGGAGAUGUAACGAACUGGUCGACAGCAGACAGCAGAAAGAUGAUUGCCUCGAUUGAUUUGAUCCAUCCAACUGUCCAACAUGGAUCUCUGAUGCAGCCAGUGCGGUUGGGACCCGAUUCUUACGGGUGCCAAGUUUGUAAAAAAAUGUGCGAUUACCCAGCCAUGGUUGCACAUCUUCAAACACAUGACAAAGCAGCCAUAUCUCACAAUGGCAGAUGAUGUUUUCCUGAAGGACACAAUUGAGGCAGCAGCAUGGUGCCAGUUGCAGACCUUCACCGACCACGUUUCUCUCCCGAUGGUCAUUGGGGUGGAAGGUGCAGAGCAGCAGGCAUUAUUAGCAGAGCUGAAAUCCGUUGACCGCAGUUGCCCGGAAGAAAGCCCAAACAGGAUUGAACCGUUCCAGUUCUUCUUCAAUUCAAAGAAGGACUACGAAAUGUUCUGUGUGGAGAUGUUUGACCGGAGAAAGCUGAAAGUGUUUGCUUCUUGGGAGUAGCGACAUUUUACCCAUUGUUUUAAUUGAACUGGGGGACCGGGGGCCGAUUCUUUAUGUUAUCAUUUAUAUAACCAGUUCUAAAACCAUUUUCAUUUGUCUUUAUAAAUAAAAUGAUGUCACGGUAUUAUCAGUUGUUUCUUACCAACUUGAUAGUCUACACCACAUUCUGUGCACAUUUCACUGCCAGCCACUCUGACAUGGUUAGAGUGGAACAGCUUCGUAACAGAAGAGUUAACGAUGACGUUGGAAAAUUACUCCCCGAUCUCAGUAGGAAAUCACAAUCCUACGUUAUUCCCCGAUCUCAGUAGGAAAUCACAAUCCUACGUAUUACGUCAUCACGCUGAGAGGAAAUCACAAUCCUACGUAUUACGUCAUCACGCUGAGAUUGGUCAGUCGAGGGGCGUGUAUUUCCCACGAGGGGCGUGUAUUUCUACACGGGGCGUGUCUUGCCAGGACGCAGGACGCAGUCGGACCCUAUUGAC
ensembl:lncRNA